rnacentral:lncRNA from 1 species
CUUCCUCCAUGUUCCAAAUAUUAUCCUAGAAAAUUUCUUGUUUUUGUUUUCUGUCUGAGAAAAUAAAAAAAAUCUGGCUUGCUAAAAUCCAUUUCCUGUCAUGUCUUAAAUUAGCCUGGGACCAAUUUGUUUGAAUAUCUGCUCCACCUCUGUAGGGGAAAACUGAUGAGCAGGCUUCAAAUUUCCACAAGUGGGUGCCAACCACGGUGUGCCCUGACGCUGGCUUGGGAUGCUUUCUGGCAAAGGCAGGGUUUCACUUCUGAUUUCAUGGCAAAUCAAACCCUGAAUGAGAAGACAGCUAUAGACAGGAGGGAAAACAGUCUCUUCCGUCUGUCAGUUCUUCUCCUAAUAUCCCUCUCCACCCCAGAAGGAUCCAUUGAUAUGUAACAGGAAAAAUACAGACUACAUGCAAUUCAGUGAAGUGUGAGAAAAAGCUUAGGUAGUUUCCAGGCAAGACUAUCGUAUCAGCAAUGCAAGCAAAGCAUUUGAAAUAGUGAUUCUACUGUGGAAAUGAUACUCACUUCCAGGACCUGCCAGGUGCUACUCUUGAUGCUGAAAACAACCUCUCCUGGAAUGGAGGUAAUAGUGCACUUACUUCUGUGUAGGUAGAUUAACCUAUUUUACCCCUUUUAGAUGGGGAAACGCUAUUGCCCUCCUGUGGCACCAUGAGGCGGAAGAUUGACAAAUAUAUAAUCAUGCAUUUUUUGUUGUUUCCUGAAUUAUGCAGGAUGUGUUUUCCAGUGAAUUCUACUGUGGAGGCUUUCUGAAGUGUCAGAGUCUAUUACCUGCUGCCCAGGAAAAUCUAUUACAGGCAUGUACAAGUGGAGCUGAAAAAGAGGUCUUUACUCACUAACAGAGACUGAGCAAGGACUGCUAAAUUGUACCCUCCAGUACUGUGUUCUCAUGGCUUUUUCUCUCCUUCUUUACGUAUGCUUAACAAGGAAACUCGUUGAAUGCACAUGCUUCUCAAACCUGGGCUUCCCUGGAGGUGCAGUAAAGCCUACAGAAAUCCAGAAGGGGCAAUCUCCAAGUCUUCAGAGCAGCAGAAUUGGAGCUUCAAUCCGCACGCUUGAUUCACUAUUUCUCCCUCCUGAAUCUUGUCUUCCCAAAACUUUGCAGGUGGGUAUCCGUGGACACCUGGGUAUGUAA